CUCUGAGCAUGCUCAGUGUCAGUCAUGGUGACAGAGUGAGGAGGAGCUGACGGUUCGGGAGGCGGGAGGAGAUUGUGAGCACAGGGGCAUCAGAAGGGAGAAUUUAUAGACUGGUAACUCAAACAAAACAUAUCAGAUCAAGAUCUAACAGAGUCACUUGAUUCAUCAGGAGCUGAAUAUCACCGGCCUUUGAAUGUGGAAGGAGAAAUAGUUCCCUGUAGAAAAGAAAAAUCACUCAUCUAUAUGACUGGAAAAGCACCGAGACACACUCACACCGGUGACAGUGUUCCAGUGCACUGACUGUGCAAAGAGCUUUAGCUAGUUACGCAACCUGAAAAAAUUACAGCAUUUACAGUGGGACGUUGUGAGUCCCACGUACACGUGUUUUCUGUGUGUGUGUGUGUGUGUGUGGACAAGCAUUCAACUGAUCAUCCAAUCUGGAGAGACACAAGGGCACCCGCACCACGGAGAAACCGUGGAAAUGUGGGGACUGUGGAGCUGGAUUCAUUUCCCCAUCCCAGCUGGAAAUUCAUCGGCGUAUUCACACUGGGGAGAGGCCGUUCACCUGCACUGACUGUGGGAAGGGUUUCAUGCAGUUAUCAAAUCUUCUGACACACCAGCGUGUUCACAGUGGCAUGAAGCCAUUCAGCUGUUCCAUGUGCGGGAAGGGAUUCAUGAGCUCAUCUAACCUGGGGACUCACCAGCGAGUUCACACUGGGGAGAGGCAGUUCACCUGCUCUGUGUGUGGGAAAGGCUUCACUCAGUCAUCUGCUCUGCUGACACAUCAACUUGUUCACAGUGAUCAGAGAUUGUUUAAAUGCUCUGACUGUGAGAAGAGUUUCAAAGGACCAAUAAACUUGCUCAAACACCAGCGAGUUCACACUGGGGAGAGGCUGUUCACCUGCUGUGUGUGUGGGAAGAGAUUCACUCGGUUGCAUAACCUGCACAGACACCAGCGAGUUCACAUUGGGGAGAGGCCUUUCAGCUGCCCCAUCUGUGGGAAGGGAUUCAUUUUUUCAUCUAACUUGAAGAGACACCAGAAGUUUCACAUAUGACAACAGGGGUUGGAUUCUGUUGUUAUUGCUGCUGUGAAUCACAUCCAGGUUUGAACUAUGUUCAUUCUGAUAACUGGGGUUGGAUUUUCACUUCCUGACGAGGGUGGGAACUGGGACUUGUGCGAUUUGAAAAUUACUUUCCCGGUCAGAGGCACUGGAUCCGCUGCCUCUGAGACAGUUUGUGAUUUUCAAAGUGCCAGUGGAGGGGAGGAAACAGGAAACCCACUCACCACCAAUAAACGGCCCCUUAAUCUCAUUAAAGAACUUGUGAAGGAGCCUGUCUGGAACAGAAUGGGAUUUUCAAUCAUUUUUCUGGAUUUAAGUUGAUUUAUGGGGUAUAGGUUGUUUGUAAUAAAUCCCCAAUUGUGAAUGAAAUCAUCAAGUUCUACAGGAUUUAACCAUCUGGCAGGAGUGAACACUUUAAAUGGUCAUUUAAAAAAGAUUUAUUAACCAUUAAAAGGUGGAAAGGUAACAAGUUAGAAAAAUAAAA